UACGUAGGUCCCGAGCGUUAUCCGGAUUUAUUGGGCGUAAAGCGAGCGCAGGCGGUUAGAUAAGUCUGACGUGAAGGGCUGUGGCUUAACCAUAGUAUGCUUUGGAAACAGUUUAACUUGAGUGCAGAAGGGGAGAGUGGAAUUCCAUGUGUAGCGGUGAAAUGCGUAGAUAUAUGGAGGAACACCGGUGGCGAAAGCGGCUCUCUGGUCUGUGACUGACGCUGAGGCUCGAAAGCGUGGGGAGCAAACAGG
rnacentral:rRNA from 1 species